GUGGGGAAUUUUGCGCAAUGGAGGAAACUCUGACGCAGCAACGCCGCGUGCGGGAUGACGGCCUUCGGGUUGUAAACCGCUUUCAGUGGGAAAGAUAAUGACGGUACCCACAGAAGAAGCUCCGGCUAAAUACGUGCCAGCAGCCGCGGUAAUACGUAUGGAGCAAGCGUUAUCCGGAUUUAUUGGGCGUAAAGCGCGCGUAGGCGGCUUGUUAAGCAGAAUCUCUAAUCUUAGGGCUCAACCCUAAUCCGGAUUCUGAACUGGCAGGCUCGAGUUCGGUAGAGGAAGAUGGAAUUCCCAGUGUAGCGGUGGAAUGCGCAGAUAUUGGGAAGAACACCAAUGGCGAAGGCAGUCUUCUGGGCCGGAACUGACGCUGAGGUGCGAAAGCUAGGGGAGCGAACAGGA
rnacentral:rRNA from 1 species